GAGGAAUAUUGCGCAAUGGGGGAAACCCUGACGCAGCGACGCCGCGUGAGUGAGGAAGGUUUUCGGAUCGUAAAGCUCUGUCAGAAGGGAAGAAGUGUAAUACAGUUAAUACCUGUAUUAUUUGACGGUACCU
rnacentral:rRNA from 1 species